AGAAACUUAGUGGCCAGUGGAAAGAGAGCGGCGCAAAGCAAAGAGGGGUGGGGAGUCCAGGAGGAGACCAGUGCUUACAGGCUUCUGUCCACACACGGGACCUGCAUUUUUGAAGUCUGCGCCAUUGUUUUAAAGAGUCUGCCACGAUGUAUCACCCUUUAAUUAUUGCCAUUGUGACCGUGAACACCUCUCUGACCAUCAUCUACUGGACCUUCGUGUUGGGAGAUGCCUACUACAAGUGGCUGCAGGAGCCGGAAGACAAACCCAAGAAGGUGGUCAGUCCAGCCUGAAGGAGCCAAAAUGGAGGACUGAAUAAGUGGCUUUUUGUUUUUCUUCUAUUUUUUUGCUCAACAGUUUUGCUUGUUAAUGAAACCUUCUGAGGAACAUCUGUAGAACUUCUUUUUUUAAACGUUUAUAUUAUUUCUUGAGCUUGGACUGGAACCAUUUCAUCAGCCUCUUUGGAGCAUGGCGUUUGUCUUCUACUGGGGUCUGCACCCGGUCUCUUGGUUCACUCUCCUGGCCGGCGUGACCGUCACCAUCAUGGAAUGGAAGUUUAUCGCCAAACGCUUUUACCAGCUGAACGUGGCGCAGAGAAAAAGCGAGGAUAGCGCCGCAGUUGAAUAGUCAUCAUUAUCAGCUGAUAAUCCACUUAAACAAGACUGGAUUUUUGGCCCCAAACCGAUGAACGAACAUGCGGAGGAAGAUGGAGAAGUCAUCGAGGAUCUUCCAGCUAAAGUGAUGGAAGGACUGGAGCUGGUGGUGGAGAGAGGCGGGUUGCUUCCAGGAUACCAGCUGAGUGACACAGCAGACCAGUCCUCGCCUCCACCUCCUCUGAAAAGUGCUAUCACUUCGCUCUUGCCAGGAGAGAGAAGGACGUCUGCUCAUAGUGUAACGUUCGCUUGCUCUCCAUCCUCCUGUGCAACAUCUCUCUGAGCUUUUCCAACAUCUGCUUUUCAGCUGUUGCAUUUGGAAAUGUAGCGUCUUCAUCAUGCACUUAAUACUAGUUUAACUGAGUAAUAUGUUCAAUUAUAUUUUUGCCGUUUUACUAUCUAAGCUUGUGAUUCCUGUGAAGAUUCAAAUUAAAGAGAGGUUAGAUGGAGACACUUUGCUGCCUUCUCCAACCUGAUGUAACGUUGUUUGUGUUGCUCCAAAACCUCUGUGUUGGUGUUAAUCCGAGCUUCUCUCCAGUAAACAGCUUGUUAAUACACA